GCCGUGGCGCUGUGGAGCUGUGCUAGCAGCAGAAGCGGCACCUGUGCCUGCUGCAGUGCUCGCGAUCUGACCGGCCAAGUGGUAGCAGGUGCUCCACAGGACACCACGCAGAAGCAAAGGGUCCUGCAACUGUGAAUUUGGGGGAAUGUGAGAGAAGAGGUGGCCUGCGCAUCGUGACUGUGCUUAUGGGGUAUGAAGCUGUGGGGCACUGAUGGCUCGUGCAUGCUUCUUCACAUGCGCCUUCUUUUCUCGGUGAGGGAUACAAGUCAGCUGCGAGUCCGCAAGUAUGUCAGCAGGGAUGCGGGAGGCGGUGCCUUGCCUUCCAUGCCUUAAAGCCACACAGAAUACUGAAGAUGCCGGGCCAAACUUGCGCAAGCGUCCACAGCAUCAGAGAGCGUGCAGCAACCUACCAACAGGGCUCAAAGGCCCAGACUCUGCAGGGGCUCUUCCGAUGGGACAUUUGCUAAAAAGAAACUCCAAAGCUGCCAGAACUGCAGGCAGUGAAGGACGCCUUGCUUUACCCAUGCACGGUGCCCUGCAGGCUCUUGUGCGUGCUCUCUGGGGCCUGCAGCUUCCCUCAGGACACAUCGACCCGCGCCGGCGUUCUCUCUUCCAAGGGUUGCGCUGCAUUAGAAUUUUGAUUCUGGCGCCAGAACCACCCCCUGCUCUUCCUCCUCCUCCUGCUCCUCCUCCCGUUCCUCCUCCUGCUCCUCCUCUUGCUCGUCCUGACCCCCCAAAGCCUUCCUCCCCCUCCUUCCUCCCGCUCCGACUCUCACCUUGGCCUUUGCACAGCUGUUUCUCACACUUUCUCCUCCUCACUCCCCACUGCUGAGCAGCAGGUUGCCCUGUUUGGCGGUCCUUGCCAAGCAUGCUUUCUCCUAAGGCACCGCCUUCCUGGCUGCCAGGCUCUGCCCUGCACUGCGGCAGUGCCGCUGGAACCGGCAUUGUCACAAUGCAUGGGGCCGAUACCGGCUUCUUCUCAGAGGCCACCAGCAGCCCUUGGUGCCAGCACGUGGGCAAACACCCAGCACGGCUCUAGAGAAACAUAAACAUUUCCUACACGUGAGACCUUCCCGGUCUGGAAGCAGGCAGCCAAUCAGAGGGAGGAAUGAGAAGAUGACAGGGUUUUAUAAACAAAGCUGGCUAAGCCAAUCAGGGAGCGGCACGGCAACAGGGAAUGUGAGAGAAGAGGUGGCCUGCGCAUCGUGACUGUGCUUAUGGGGUAUGAAGCUGUGGGGCACUGAUGGCUCGUGCAUGCUUCUUCACAUGCGC